GAUUGCAGUAGGGAAUCUUCGGCAAUGGACGAAAGUCUGACCGAGCAACGCCGCGUGAGUGAAGAAGGUUUUCGGAUCGUAAAACUCUGUUGUUAGAGAAGAACAAGUGGGAGAGUAACUGUUCCCACCUUGACGGUAUCUAACCAGAAAGCCACGGCUAACUACGUGCCAGCAGCCGCGGUAAUACGUAGGUGGCAAGCGUUGUCCGGAUUUAUUGGGCGUAAAGCGAGCGCAGGCGGUUUCUUAAGUCUGAUGUGAAAGCCCUCGGCUCAACCGAGGAAGGUCAUUGGAAACUGGGGAACUUGAAUGCAGAAGAGGAGAGUGGAAUUCCAUGUGUAGCGGUGAAAUGCGUAGAUAUAUGGAGGAACACCGGUGGCGAAAGCGGCUCUCUGGUCUGUAACUGACGCUGAGGCUCGAAAGCGUGGGGAGCGAACAGGAUUAGAUACCCUGGUAGUCCACGCCGUAAACGAUGAGUGCUAGGUGUUGGGUCCUUUCCGGGAUUCAGUGCCGCAGCUAACGCAUUAAGCACUCCGCCUGGGGAGUACGGUCGCAAGACUGAAACUCAAAGGAAUUGACGGAAU
rnacentral:rRNA from 1 species